UGCGUCCUGGUAGUAUUUAUUCAAUAGCAUACUGGUUCAUUCAGUUAGGCCAAUAAAGACAAUAGCUUCCUUGGCCUGGUCAAUGUCCCAUCUCUGAUGGAGAACCUCUUCUCUCUUACGUCUUCUGAUACUAAAAGAGGUCAACAGGCUGCAGGCUGUUGGCUUGAGCAUGUCCUUACUUGUCUGACUUAAAAUAUAGCAUGAAUUCAACUUGACUUGAUUCUCACUACGUGAAUAUGGACCACAUUCAGGAUCAUUUAUGUGAAACGACAAAAUCUGAAAUAUUACUGUUAAAAGAAAGCCAACCAAAUCUUACUGGGAAGGUCAAUGAGGAAAAAACUUCAUUGGGAAUAUGGGAGAUCUUUUUUUUUACAUCUUAGAAACAGAAAAACAAAUGAUCCAAUGAAUUUCAGGUGGCUGUUCCUUUUUGGCAGUCAGUGUUUCUUUAACAUGUAAGACUAUAUUUCUUAAAACAAUUGGCUUAUAACAUGUAAAUGUAAACUAAACAUUUCUGCGCCACAGUGUAGGUGUUUUGUGACUGCUGCUGGUUCACAUGACAGAUGGACUAUUCGACGCUAGUGGUUCACUGUGAAUCACUGACCUCCUCCCCACAACUGGGAAACAUUUUUAGGCAAAUGCAAUUAAUCCAGUUUAUUACAUUGGAUAAGCAACUCCUCUUGUGGGGGCUGUAGUUUUAUGUAAUGGGAUCAGCGAAUAUAAAUCAUGCAUCUUUUCCCACGGUCAAGUGUGUUUGUGCUUGUCUGCGUGCUCACUGGGUUAACAGCUCUUUGGCAAGUUCCUUUCCUCUUAUAAUAUAGUCGUGAUUUCAUGAAACCAAAUAUGUACAGUAUUUCGCUUUAAUCAUCCCCCCUUUUCCUUUCAUCUGGACAACAGGAAGAGUGGGAAGAGGGAUUGAGGAGGUUGCGGCAUGGAAACGGAGGUGUCGCCUAGAGCAAUGCUAUGGGACCCUUGGGACAGCAGAUGGCAGUAGGAAAAUCACAGGUGUAAAUAAUCAAAUCAACGGUGGGUGAGUUACACUUUGCUUUUUCAGUUUCAGGAUGCGUGUUGGUUCACUGCCACAUGAGCAGAGCUAUGAUUAACACGUGUGCUUUUCUGCUGACAUUUAUCAAAAUGGCUGCUGUGGAGAAAUGGCCCGUUUUCAAGUAAAAGCCUGCAAGGCCAGGUUUAUCGCCCAGAAGAUGAACCCAUGAACCGAAACAAGGCUUAAGGGACCUCCUACAGGACAAUCCUCAUGUCGCCUGUGUGGUAAAGCUGCUGAACACUCCCUCACAUUCCCAGUGAUCAAUGCUAACACUGAGGCACUAUCCUCAUCCUCUAAAACCUUCUGUUUUAGAGGGAAACGUGAAAUAAUGUGCAGGGCAUCUAAGGUGUUUUAAAAUGAUUAAUGAUGGUUUUUGAUUGUUAAUGUGUAUUUAUAUACUGUAUUGUAGUAACUUGGACCAAACCUUAACUUAAAAUGAAGCCAAACACAAUGUGUAAUUUGUAUGUGUAAUUGUUUAUAUGAAUAAUCACAUUUAAUACACUACAUUUCAAUUUGAGCUUAUUGUGUCCUGAGUUUCCUUGAUUUUUGUAGUUUGGUCCUCAUUGUCUGUACAUGGAUAUCAUAUGGCUACACAAUUUUAAAAUCUUCAAAAUAAUAGACUACAGAAUAAAUAUUAGAGUAACUUAAUUUAUCAAAUCAAAAAGAUGUUAUUUGCCAUUAAUGUAUGGGACAUUUUCAACAGUUGUGAUCACAUGGUAGAUGCUUUAAACUUUUUGGGCAUAAAAAAAUCUUGCGUUGAA